UAUAUGUAACCAUACCGACUUUGGACGGAUUUUAGCUAUACCGGAAGUUCUAUACAGGAAGUUGAGAAUAAUCAUUAUUUGGAUUGUUUCUUGUUUGUUCAUUACGUUUCACUGUGUUCAGUUGUUUAUCCCAGAAGCUUUGCUUUCAUUGGUCGAAAAUAGUUUGUGUAUUGUUGUACAUGAUUGUUUUUUACUGUUGAGCGGGAGUUCUGAGAUACCUUAGUUUGGUCACGGUUGUUCUGAGGGUGAACAUCAUUGAUAAUGGUAUAGCUGGUUGUUUCUUCGUAUUGUGGAUCUCCAUGGAACUCUGAUACAAUCUAGACUAAUAUCACAUGUGUGAAAGGAGGUUUGUUGUAAUGUGAGGGAAACAGUCAAUACCAUAUAUUGGUUGUCAUUACAUUACUACCGAUGUAUCUAAAGUUUGAUUAAAUGGAGAUGAACCUACACGAACUUGGUUUUCUUUGUCACAUGUAAAACAAGGUCCAAGUUUACAUUGGCGCCCAACGGGGGACCCACAAUUCAUCUGAAGAGGUAGCUGACAUGGUAACAAGCUUGUACACGUAGAUGUAAGACAUAAACAUUAUUUAGACUCAAGAAUCCAGAGGAUCUCAAAGGUAUUUCUACAGACUUUUACGUUAUCCCGAGGAGCAGCAAUGGAGUGAUUAUUGACAGUCCAAUAUUUAAAAAAAAAACUGUUUUAAGACUGUGAAUUGUGCUAUCGGACAAAUUAUUAUAUUUUUUUGUGUGUAUUUCAUUUGAAAGGUUAAUUGAUUUCAUUUUUUUUAAAUUUUUUUUUGUAUUUAAAAGGAAUGGGCGUCAGUUAUUGUAAGUGAAAAAGGGAUCACAGCAUGCCUAAAUUUCUCUAAUCUUCUCGAUAUCUUGAUUAACAAAAUAUUUUCAUUUCCUUCUGCUUAACAAAUAACUUUGUUAAAAAAAAAAAUUAAUUUAAUUGGUGAAUAUGUCGUCAUUUUAAUUAAAAAAAAAAACAA